rnacentral:rRNA from 1 species
GGACCUGACUGCUAUCGGAUUGAUACUAAGCCAUGCGAGUCAUUGUAGCAAUACAAGGCAUACGGCUCAGUAACGCGUAGUCAACCUAACCUAUGGACGGGAAUAACCUCGGGAAACUGAGAAUAAUGCCCGAUAGAACAUUAUGCCUGGAAUGGUUUAUGUUCCAAAUGAUUUAUCGCCGUAGGAUGGGACUGCGGCCUAUCAGUUUGUUGGUGAGGUAAUGGCCCACCAAGACUAUUACAGGUACGGGCUCUGAGAGGAGUAGCCCGGAGAUGGGUACUGAGACACGGACCCAGGCCCUAUGGGGCGCAGCAGGCGAGAAAACUUUGCAAUGUGCGAAAGCACGACAAGGUUAAUCCGAGUGGUUCCUGCUAAAGAAACCUUUUGUCAGUCCUAGAAACACUGAUGAAUAAGGGGUGGGCAAGUUCUGGUGU